rnacentral:tRNA from 1 species
GGCGGAAUUGGUAGACGCGCUAGCUUCAGGUGCUAGUGUCCUUACGGACGUGGAGGUUCAAGUCCUCUC